rnacentral:rRNA from 1 species
AUUGAACGCUGGCGGCAGGCUUAACACAUGCAAGUUGAGCGGAGAUGAGGUGCUUGCACCUUAUCUUAGCGGCGGACGGGUGAGUAAUGCUUAGGAAUCUGCCUAUUAGUGGGGGACAACAUUCCGAAAGGAAUGCUAAUACUGCAUACGUCCUACGGGAGAAAGCAGGGGAUCUUCGGACCUUGCGAUAAUAGAGGAGCCUAAGUCGGAUUAGCUAGUUGGUGGGGUAAAGGCCUACCAAGGCGACGAUCUGUAGCGGGUCUGAGAGGAUGAUCCGCCACACUGGGACUGAGACACGGCCCAGACUCCUACGGGAGGCAGCAGUGGGGAAUAUUGGACAAUGGGGGGAACCCUGAUCCAGCCAUGCCGCGUGUGUGAAGAAGGCCUUAUGGUUGUAAAGCACUUUAAGCGAGGAGGAGGCUACUGAGACUAAUACUCUUGGAUAGUGGACGUUACUCGCAGAAUAAGCACCGGCUAACUCUGUGCCAGCCGCCGCCGUAAAAC